GCAGCAGUAGCUCACCUGGAUAGAGCAAUAGUUUCCUAAACUGUAGGUAGUGAGUUCGAGUCUCACCUGCUGCA
rnacentral:tRNA from 2 species